rnacentral:lncRNA from 1 species
CGGGGAAGGCCAUGCAUCAUCUGCUACCCUGGAGGAUCUGGAGCCAGUACCGAGAACUAGCAGUGGCCCUGCACUCAAGCUCCGCAAUAAUCAGUCAACUCAGUGAAAACAUCAAUUCACUGCUGAACCCCUGGCCCCAGAGCCCCCAGCAGGGCCCUCUGAGGUGGAGCAGCUACAAGAUGAGACCAACCACCUAAGGAAGGAGCUGGAGAGUGUGGGAAGACAGCUCCAGGCUGAGGUGGAAAACAAUCAGAUGUUGAGUCUCCUGAACAGGAGACAGGAGGAGAGGCUGCAGGAACAGGAGAGGCUGCUGGACAAGGGGUAGGAGCUGCUGGAACAGGAGAGGCUUCAGGAGCAGGAUGAGAGGCUGUGGCAGCAGGAGACUCUGUGGGAGCUGGAGAGGAUGCUGGAGCUGGAGUGGGAAGCCCUCUACAAGCAGCAGGCCGAGCCCCACAGCAGCUUUGAGGAGCUGGAAUAAUGAGAACAAGAGUGCACUGCAGUUGGAGCGGCAAGUAAAGGAGCUGAAGCUUGGAGAACCUGGAAGCUACCAGCCAGCAGAAACAGCAGCUAAAGCCCAGUUGAGCCUCAUGGCUCUCCCUGGGGAAGGAUAUGGAGGAGGACAUCUGGACAAUGAGGAGGAGGCACCUCGGCCCAUGCUGAACAUUCCAGGGGACCUGGAGAGCCGGGAGGCCAUGGUGGCAUUUUUCAACUCCGCUGGAGCCAGUGCCCAGGAGGAGCAAAGCGUGUGCUGCCAGCCCCUGGCUCACCCAGUGGCCUCAUCCCAGAAAAAGCCAGAGGCAGCGGCCCCAGCCCCAGAGACUGGGGGUGAAUCUGUGUGUGGGGACACCCACUGGGCCCUGCAGGAGGCCAUGGAGAAGCUGCAGCAACUUUAUGGAAGGAGAAGAUGGACCUGAAGGAGCUGGUGGAGAAACUAGAGCUUCAGUUCAUCCACCUCUCAGGACAGACAGACACCAUGAGAAAGUACAUCAGCCAGGGGGCAGUGCCAAAGACGCAGCACUGGGAGAGGAGGACAUCGUCAGGCUGGCCCAGGACCAGGAGGA